CCCUCUAGAGCUACUCCCAGAGAUUGAGUAGUUGGAGGCUGCUGCAGCUCUGCUCCUGCUGUGGUCUCUGCAGGAAGGGAGGCUGAAGCUGGAGGGGUCCUGGGGCUGAGGACAAGAGACUGAGGCUGAGGGCUGGAGGAUGAGGCUGAAGGGGACCUGAAGCUGUGAGCAGGAGGGCAAGAGAUUGAGGCUGAGGGCUGGAGGGGUCCUGAAGCCAUGGGCACAGGUGAAAACACCAGGAAGAGGCUGCCAGGUGGGCUGUGCACCAGCAGAGAGCAGGAGAUGGGAUCAGAACUAUAAGGAGAUGGGAUGAGGCCAGGCUCUGUUCUCUGAAGGUGCAGAGACUGACAUGUCAGGCUGUGCCUGGGCAGGAAGCAUUGAUAUCCCCUCUCAGCAUCACAUCUCAUCUCCCUCGAACAGCUCCAGAACAGUAGGUAAAAGCUGCAGCUGCUGCUCUGCCUGGCCUGGUGGUCCAGGACGGUAUAUAAAACCAGCCAUGAUUCAGACACCUUCCAGCAGGUUCUCGUGACUUCUCUUCGGUGAACAGAGUCUAUAGCACGGCUAAACAAUGUCUUGUGAGAAAACCUUGUGCACAGAGCCGUGUGCUGCUGUAGGCAACGUGAAAGGCCCUGAGCCCUGUGCUGCUGCCUGCAGUGAGCCCUGCGUCGUUGCCUGCCCUGACUCCCGUGUCAUCAUCUUCCCACCACCUGUGGUCGUCACCAUCCCAGGACCCAUCCUCACCACCUACCCACAAGAGACCAUCGUGGGCUCCACGGAGUCAGCCGAGCUGGCUGGUGCCCUGGAAUCGGGUGUAGCCAUCGGAUCAACACAAAAGGGGGCUGAGUGUGCACUGCCCUGUUCUGUGCCCUGUGCUGUGCCUUGUGCUGAGCCUUGUGCCACAAAGCUUGUGACAAAGUGUGAGGCACCAUGCCCACCUCCGUGCCCACCCCCGUGCCCACCUCCAUGUCCACCUCCGUGUGUGCCCCAGUGUGAGCCCCAGUGCGUCCCUCAGUGUGUGCCGGAGCGCUCUUACACUUAUUCCACCCAGUGGAAGCAUCCUUGCCAGAGAGGCUUCUGCAAGGUCUAAUCAGCCUACAGCAGAGAACAAUCACAGGAGAACAGCAAGCAAAGGAGUGAACGGAUACGGAUCAUCAUUUACAAGCAUAGCUUUCAAGGUUCUUCCUACUGCAGAGGGAAGCGCCCCAAAAUCAGGACCUUGCUUCUAAUUCCUUUAUAGUGCUUUAGCUUAGAUUAAUGCUUUCCUUAUUCCUGUGGCUUUGCAUCUUACAUCUGUGCUUUUAACUUCCUCUACGCGGAUUGACUUUGUGAUUUAAACAAACAAAAGAAACAUACCUAGGGAUUUGAAUGUCACACACAGCAAAAAAAUGAGGAAAAAAAAACAUCUUAAUGAAAUGCACCACAUUGGAAUGGGUAACUGGUUCUAGCUUUCCUUGUUUCUAGAAAUAUACGCUUUUCUAGACUGCAUUAUUCUUUCUGCAAAUGUUUACUCCACUCUGCAUUCACAUUAAAAGGCUGCUGCAUCAAA